AAAACCUCCUUUGUUUGCCAUAUGGGAUCUUUCUCCUCUCCCUCCCCCUUCUCCCUCAUUAAUGGCGCCCAGAAAAACUCACCAGCCAAAGAUUAAUUCGCCCCUGUCUUCUUUCAUUCUCAUCCUCUCACUAACCAUCCAUGGGAUUCGAAUUCGAAGCAAGAACAAACGAAAACAACAUUUUGGGACCGUUUCAAGCAAGCGAUCUUUUGAAUGGGGGGGGGGGGGGUUUGAUCUUCUCUUUUUCUUUUGACCUGCCAAAAAUGAGGCAGAUGAUAGGUUGUAAUCGUAGGCGAGAUCGAAUUUGUGUCGGCCUCUCCCUUACUUUUUGCAGUUCAGAAGAAAAUGAAAAAGGUCCCUACGAAAUCCCACAAUUUGAAGCGGGAGUGUGGAUUAUUUGUCUAGGGUUGCUCAUGGAAGAGUUGGUCAUGGAGGAACUUGGGAAAGUCUAUGAGGGUCCAGAAGGUUAUGGCUUUCAUCACUGGGAACUUUCCGGCCAUCAGAGCUAGGUUUAGUGAAAGAAUGUCGGGGGUCGGGUUUUUGGUUCUCCUCUUUCAUUCCGUAAGUCCAAGGUAUUGAAAAGAAAAUAGGGUGUGAGGUUGCUCAUAUAUGGUAGUACACUUACAUCAUGCUUACAAGUUUCAGCUGUUCUGCUUUUUUCAUAUAUAGAGGUGCUUAUUGCCUUUGGUUCUUUGCCUUUCUACUCUUCCUUUACCCUUCUCUGCUCAUCAGAAUAUAGAAAGGCAAAAACAUCCUAUUAUGUAAGCAAAGCAAUGAGGUGGUGGAAGAAGACAUUAAAGCCUAAUAUGAUAGAGAUCAGUUCAGCUCAACACCUUGCCGAUGCACUACAAUCUGAUGGUAAUAGCCUUUUUGUUGUUGAUUUUUACUCUCCUGGUUGUGGUGGUUGCAAAUCACUCCAUCCUAAGGUUGUUUUUCCUGGGAAAAUAUUCAUUCAAUUGAGAAACAAACAUUGUGUUCCUUUUUCAAUGGGAAGGUGGAAAAUCGGACUCCGGAUGUCUACAAGGAGAUACGGACUUGGAUUAUGAAGAGGUUUCAUGCCAAUCCAAGCACAAACAUUGAACUGAAAGAUCUGUCGGAGCUGUUUAUUGGGGAUAUAGAUGCAAGAUGUUGACAAGGCAGAGCAAAUAGACUCUUUAAUUGAAAAGUUUUAUCAGUUACAACAUAAGCAAUCCUCUGUACUAUUAGUUCCAAGAGCCAACGUGUCAACAGCGGCAGUGCCUUCAGGCCUAUUUCCGGAGUCGAUCACAGAAGAGUUGGUAGAACAAGAGGGACCUGCAGUUGAGUAUCAUUGCAACUCUUCUUCUGUUGAUUGUUCUUGCAGUUGAGCAGGUGAUGGGAAGGUCUUCACCAAAUGACAAGCUACAGGCCUAUAAAAGGACAGUCUGCUGGACCAGCGUAGGAGAAGUGCAGACAUCGAGGAUGAUUUUUCGAUGAAAUUGGCUGAUAUGUUAAAAUAGUUCAAUGAAUGCUCUAGUUCUUUGAGUAGGCACAGAGAGAUGGACAGAGAGCUUGAAUUGAAGGAACACUAAUGUCCCUGUCUUCCCUGAAGAAGUAUGUGUCACCUAGUUGGGGGCAGCCAUUUGUAGGAGCUAGCAUUUUGGCAGUUUCAGGGAAUGGAGCUAGCAUUUGGAGAGAGGCUGAACUUGAAUCUUGGGACGACAAACUCAAUAAAGGCCUGGUUGUAUUUCGUGACGAUGGAAGCUCAGAGACGGUGGGGGCAGAAGCAAUGUCAUUAUCAUUCGAGUGAGAGAUCGAAGUAGACUGAUCAUAAGACUCUACGAAGGCUUGCUCAGAACCGUGAGGCAGCAAGGAAAAGCCGGUUGAGGAAAAAAGUCUACACUCCGAGGAUUGCGCCUUAUGCGAGGAAUUUGAUGUGGUUCGUGAGCAAUGGGCCAAGUUUUUUACCAGCAAGUAUUUAUUAUUGGCUUUAGCGCGCUUGAUCGAGUUGGUUUAGUUGUUAUAGAAUAAAUUUUAUAUUAAAAUGUAUGUUUAUGUUGAAAUUGGAACAUAUAUUUAAAUGUAAUAUGUGCACUUAAUUUGGUUUUGGGAUAUAUAGUAUACAAAACUCCAGUUGUUGUUUUUA